UACAGAGGUCUCAAGCGUUGUUCGGAUUCAUUGGGCGUAAAGGGUGCGUAGGCGGCGCGGUAAGUCGGGUGUGAAAUUUCGAGGCUUAACUUCGAAACUGCAUUCGAUACUGCCGUGCUAGAGGACUGGAGAGGAGACUGGAAUUUACGGUGUAGCGGUGAAAUGCGUAGAUAUCGUAAGGAAGACCAGUGGCGAAGGCGGGUCUCUGGACAGUUCCUGACGCUGAGGCGCGAAAGCCAGGGGAGCGAACGGG
rnacentral:rRNA from 1 species